AAGAAAGGGUCUAGACCCCACACACGCCACUCGGUAAGGAAUUGGGCCUAUAGCUCAGCUGGCUAGAGCACACGACUGAUAAUCGUGAGGUCAGUGGUUCGAGUCCACUUGGGCCCACCAAAUGGGGCUGUAGCUCAGUUGGGAGAGCACCUGCUUUGCAAGCAGGGGGUCACCGGUUCGAGACCGGUCAGCUCCACCACAGGGAUAGAAGGCCCGCAAAGAGCGCGGGCUGGUCGCUGGGGAAGCAGUAGAGAAGGGGUUUAGGGUUUAGUGUGUAGUGCUGAAUAACGCUUUAGGGAUGUAGGAAGUAAGGUGCUAUUGAUCACUGCCCACUCGGAAGAUUGAGUGCGUUAGUUUGUUCUUUGACAGUUGAGGAAGGGAAGGCCAUGUUUGUCAUCUUGCCGAUGGCAGACCUCCAGGUGGAUGCUUGGGGAUAUAU
rnacentral:tRNA from 1 species